CACGUUUUCGUCUCUGACUUGUUGCUUUGGCAGUUGAAAAUUUUAGAUUGGGAGCCAUCCCUGUGAUUUCAGCCAUGGGUUCCUCAGCAUCCACUCCUGCUGUUGCAGUAAACACCUCAAAUGCGUCAGCUCAUCCGCCUGCUUCACUCCCUUCAGGAUGCCCAAUGCAUGAAGGGCAAAAGAAAGGCUGUCCAGUGACCGCAUCAGCAUCUGCUCCAACAACUGAGAAAAAAGCACACACUGUGCCUGCCCACCAAGACCGGGCCUAUGAGUACGUGGAAUGCCCUGUUACUGGGGCUGCAGCUAAGAAUAAGGAGAACCUUGAUCCUUCAAACCUGAUGCCACCACCUAAUCAGACACCAUCCCCAGAUCAGCCAUUUUCUUUGUCUACUUCAAGAGAGGAAUCAUCAAUUCCAAGAGCAGACUCUGAGAAAAAGUGGGUUUACCCUUCUGAACAGAUGUUCUGGAAUGCCAUGCUACGGAAAGGGUGGAAGUGGAAGGAUGAUGAUAUUAGUCAGAAAGAUAUGUAUAAUAUCAUUAGAAUUCACAAUCAGAAUAAUGAGCAAGCUUGGAAGGAGAUUUUGAAGUGGGAAGCCCUUCAUGCUCGUGAGUGUCCUUGUGGCCCAUCAUUGGUCCGAUUUGGAGGCAAAGCAAGAGAGUAUUCACCAAGGGCAAGAAUUCGUUACUGGAUGGGGUAUGAGUUGCCUUUUGAUCGCCAUGACUGGAUCAUCAAUCGCUGUGGCACAGAAGUUAGGUGAUGACAAUGGGGCGUGACUGUAGUGGGGUGAAGGCAGUAUUCCGGACUGAUUCAGAAAACCCCUGUUGUACUCUGUGCUGCUUCUAUGUGGAUUGGUGGCGUCCACUCCCUUGAGCGGUGAGGGAGGUAUUGCCAAAUUUGCUCAUGAACUCAUGUCAAAAUUCCCAGAUGGAGACAGACAUCCUUCUCUUCAGAAUCUCUGAAAAAGGAAAACAGCCUCACUGGUCUUCUCUCUGAUUUGCAUAUAGGAUUCCCACCUUUAAGAAGACUAUUCUAAGUAAGCAUUAAGAUCCAUGCAUAUUUGCUUACAGAAAUGGCUGCCUUUAAUGAGGGUAGCAGUAGUUGAAGUAGUGUCUUUAAAACAUGGUGUGGCCUUUCUCUGUGUUUGGACUGUAACAGAAUGUUGGCUGGAUAUGUUGCUAAGUGACAUGGUUUUGAGUCCAAAUAUGUCUAGAUCCUUCAUUUUCAUCUGUGUAUCAAGGUUAGAGGGAUUGAGGAGUUGGGCUGUCAGACAACAUGGGGUUUGUCUCGAAGCAGGAAGGGUAAAUUUGUUAGAUUCUUAAACCCCAGAACCAUCCCCAGCAUCCAUGGCUAGUCCUAACUAACCAAACAUGAGAUGGGCAUGGAGAGUGAAUCAACAUUCUCACCCUUAGCUGGUCUCUCCAGGUCAGGGUGUAAACACGCUGGCAGGGUACUGUGAGCAAGCCUGCACUGCAGCCGGAAAUACAGAACUGGUUCUGUGGAUAAAUGAAGAACUCCAGUUCAACUCUCAGUGUGGCUGGCUCAGCCCACUGCUGAGCUAUCUAGCUGAGAAGCACACAGAUUUCAAAUGUGGCUCGUCUUCAUCCUUGUUUCAAUCACUCAAUCGAUAAUCUUCAGUUUGCUGGAAUGCAAAGCUUGUAAUUGUCUCAGGCACUAUUAAUUGCACCAGGAAGUAAUCUGUUGUCAUAGCAGCCCUGGAACUAUGGAGAUUUCCACAUAAAUUAUGCACGGGGCUGCAAAGCCCCAUUGUAGACUCCUUCUCUUAGGUAGGAGACUCUUGAGGGAUAAAACACAUCUCUGAAGAAGUGCUGAUGCAAAUCUCACCUCUGCUCCAGAUGGUGAAGCCAGUAUCGGAUGAUGCAUACUAAGACAUUUGGGGAUACCUCGCUCCUCAUUUCUAGUCCUUAUUAAUUUCUUCUGCAUGGCUUUAUAGCACAUUAGUGACAGGUGAAGGUACAAUAAUGCUGUCUAUAUUCCUUUUAGUAAUAGAAUACCCGACAAGGCAUCUUGGAAUAAAGUGUAAAAAGUAAAGACACUGGAAUGCUGGUAGGAUGGGAUAAAGUCUCCCUCAAUCCCAGAUUGCCUUACCUAUGAGACAUCAAUGAUUUCAAAUCCUCCAUUGUGGAAUUCCACACUGCACGUAAGUUUCUCCUAAACCUCUUUCUGAAAAGUGUGUGGGAAAAGGGAGCCUAAUGCUUCAUAAUUUCCAGUCAUUAGAAUCCUUUGCUGUUAUAUCAUAGGUAAAGUCAGACUUCAGAAUAUUCUGAUUCAGCAAAGCAUACCAAGAAGAAGGCAGAAAUUACAACCUAUUAUAUAACAGUCCACAGAGUGGUAAAAGACACCUUCAGUUGUGAAUGUUGAUAGAUUAGAAUGAGUGAUCGCCAUAGUAUUACUUUGAUAAGCUGAACAAAAUACCAUGAAACUACAAGAAAACCUAUAGCCUUUUCAUAGUGCAGAAAGUCGAUUUAUGACAGGGUACGCUCCUAUAUAUAAAGAACAAAGAUCUUAUAGUUCCUAACUAUUGUCUUUUAGAAACAAUAGAGAUCUUCAUCCAUGAUGUUGAUGCACUGGUCACUGGUCUUUCUAUCUUUCUUUCUUUUUUUCUUCAUUUCAAUAACAACUCAUUGAAAGCCACUUAUAAAAUUAAUCACAUUGAAAUAUAAAGAUAAAUACAUAUGGAUUUGGUUUAUUCGUGUCUACUUUCUCCCAAAAUACAGUUCAGUUUGGCUUACUUUGAUCUUGCUUUCGCAUGUGGGUAGGAAUGAAUGUUCUGUCUAGUUUGGUUGAAUUGCUAUUAUAUUUCUGGGGUAAAUAUGAGGAUUGGUAGAAAACAAGGAACAAAUUCUUUGCUGGGUUUUUGUUUGUUUAUUGUUUGAGACAAAGUCUCUUGCAAUCUUUGGUGGCCUCAAAUGUAGUAUGUAAGCAGGGCUGGCCUCAAAGCUCCUGCUCUUCUUGCUUCCAUCUCCAAAGUACUGAGAUUACAUGUCUGGCUCCUUAGGUUUUUCUGAUGACCACAUUUGAAAAUAAGAGCUAUUAUUAAAAUUAGUUUCCACACCAUAGAUAACCCUGAGAUCCACUGAGCUCUCUCUCCUGAGCUGUAGAUGUGCGGACCCUGUUCACUCUGCUUUAUGCUCAGUUCUACCAAGCAUUCCUUGUACAGGGUUCCAAGGACCUGAAGCACCUCAGUGAAAAACUGUGCACCCAGAAACAAUUUUAUGUAACAUUCAUUUCUGUCUUUAGGACACUAAAAAAAAAUUACUAAAAGAAUGUAAAAAUAGGUAUAUUGGAACAUUCAACACUGAAUUAAGUUCAGAUGCAUCGUUUAUACCAAAUAAUGUUAUCAUUAUCGAAUUUCCGGUUAGUUUAACUAAAAAUCAUUUCAAAUUGUCACUUGGUCAACAGAAACUGUCACACUUCGUCAAUUGUCUCAGGUGAAAAGAAACAAAGACAGGGGAAGUUGUGAAAACACGAUUGGUGAAGUUGCCUCUAUUUAGGACAGGUCCACACAUUUUCCCAUCAGUAUG